rnacentral:pre_miRNA from 1 species
UAAGUACUCCCUCUGUCCGAAAAUACUUGUCAUCAAAAUGGAUAAAAGGAAAUGUAUCUAGACGUAUUUUAGUUUUAGAUACAUCUCUUUUUAUCCAUUUUGAUGACAAGUAUUUUCGGACGGAGGGAGUAUUAC